rnacentral:rRNA from 1 species
UGGGGAAUAUUGCGCAAUGGGCGAAAGCCUGACGCAGCGACGCCGCGUGAGGGAUGAAGGUUUUCGGAUCGUAAACCUCUGUCAGAAGGGAAGAAACCGCACUGUGCUAAUCAGCAGUGCCUUGACGGUACCUUCAAAGGAAGCACCGGCUAACUCCGUGCCAGCAGCCGCGGUAAUACGGAGGGUGCAAGCGUUAAUCGGAAUUACUGGGCGUAAAGCGCACGUAGGCUGCUUUGUAAGUCAGGGGUGAAAUCCCACGGCUCAACCGUGGAACUGCCUUUGAUACUGCUUAGCUUGAAUCCGGGAGAGGGUGGCGGAAUUCCAGGUGUAGGGGUGAAAUCCGUAGAUAUCUGGAGGAACAUCAGUGGCGAAGGCGGCCACCUGGACCGGUAUUGACGCUGAGGUGCGAAAGCGUGGGGAGCAAACAGG